AUUCGUCGCCAACGAGAAAUUGGGGUCGGCCCGAAAGCUCUAGAAUGCACCCCCCUUCUUCCCCGGGGCCUUCCACCUCCGCGAGUUUUAUGACUUAAAAAACCCCACAGGCUGGUCUGAAGAGGAAGACAAACAUAAAGAUGAAGUGCUUAAUUCAAGGUCACACAAUGUCGGGGAUGGACCUCCAGAUUUCCUUACUGACCUGCAUUAUCUUGUGGAUACCUGAGUGAAUUCCACACCACCCAUUUUAUAGAUGAAACCACUGAGACAUGGAGCAACUGACUGAGUAGUCACUGCCCCACCCCUGCCUGGAGCCUCACACAUGACUCGUCUCCUCUCAGUGACCACAGGAAAACAAGCUCAGGGCUCCCACUGAUUGUACAUUAUGAGACGGAGUCUUGCUAUGUUGCCCAGGCUGGUCUUGAACUCCUCACCUCAAGCGAUCCUCUCGUCUUGGCCUCCCAAGUGUCAGGAUUACAGGCAUGUGCUAUCACACCCAACCUGAUACAUUGCCUUUAUAAAUUUUUUUUUCUUUAUUCUAAAAACCAGAAAAAACAAAACUGGAUACAUGUGCAGAACAUGCAGGUUUGUUACAUAGCUGUACGUGUGCCAUGGUGGUUUGCUGCACCUAUUGACCUAUCCUGUAAGUUCCCUCCCCUCACCCCCACCCCCCAACAGCCCU
rnacentral:antisense_RNA from 1 species